rnacentral:lncRNA from 1 species
ACACGUUAAGGGCCUCGGUUGGCCGAAAAAGUCAAAAAAUAAAAAUUUACCAGCAGCAGAAAUUUUUGGUGUGGCCCCUCCGCCGACUAACCUUCGCGGCUGGACAUUUUUCUUCGGUUAACUUGUAGAAAAUAGAAUAGUGAACACAAUGAUGGAAAAAUCGCACGAAACGAAAAAUAAGAAGGGGCUCAUCGGAGGCGAUUUUUUAUUUUUCUCGCAGCGUCACCGCCAGGUUUUAUCCGUGGUUUCUGACUCAUCCGCCAUUUCUUUUGUCUCGAUUUGACCAUGAGG